AAGAGAUCGGGAUAACACCUGGAAACAGAUGCUAAUACCGGAUAACAACAGAUGAUGCCUAUCAACUGUUUAAAAGAUGGUUCUGCUAUCACUCUUGGAUGGACCUGCGGUGCAUUAGCUAGUUGAUAGGGUAACGGCCUACCAAGGCGAUGAUGCAUAGCCGAGUUGAGAGACUGAUCGGCCACAUUGGGGCUGAGACACGGCCCAAACUCCUACGGGAGGCAGCAGCC
rnacentral:rRNA from 1 species